AGAGAGAGACAUGCGUGCAUAUCAAUAAGCGGAGGAAAAGAAACUAACUAGGAUUCCCUCAGUAACGGCGAGUGAAGCGGGAAGAGCUCAAAUUUGAAAUCUUCAAGGUUCUACCUUGACGAAUUGUAGUUUAAAGAAGUGUUUUCUGUUGGAGUUUUGGUAAAAGUUCUUUGGAAUAGGACAUCAUAGAGGGUGAGAAUCCCGUAUUUGACCAUUUACUUUCAGCUUUGUGAUACACUUUCAAAGAGUCGGAUUGUUUGAGAAUGCAGUCCAAAAUGGGUGGUAAAUUUCAUCUAAAGCUAAGUAUUGGCGAGAGACCGAUAGCGAACAAGUACCGUGAGGGAAAGAUGAAAAGAACUUUGAAAAGAGAGUUAAACAGUACGUGAAAUUGUCAAAAGGGAAGCGUUUGACACCAGUGUUGUUUUCUCGAAAAUCAAUUAAAAAAGGCAGGAUUUUGUGUUGUAUUGACUUUAUCAGCUUUCUGCACUCUUUUCUUGUCUUUUUUAAUGCACUUUUCGUUUAACAAGUCAACAUCAAUUUCUUUUGUUGUAAAAGGGUCAUUGGAAGGUGGCUUUCUUUUCGGAGAAAGUGUUUAUAGCCUUUGGCCUCUGCAAUCGGAGAGAUUGAGGUCUGCAGCGUAGAUCCUUCGGGGUUAGAUACAUUUGUGCUAAGUUAUAGCCUUUCAUAGACAACUUGUUGACUAUGAUCAGUCAUGUAGCUUACUCGCUUAUGCUAUUUUACCUACGCUUAGGAUGUUGAUGUGAUACUGCGAGCA
rnacentral:rRNA from 1 species